GGUUAAGCUACUAAGAGCACACGGAGGAUGCCUAGGCGCUAGGAGCCGAUGAAGGACGUGGCGAACAACGAUACUGCCUCGGGGAGCUGUAAGCAAGCUUUGAUCCGGGGAUGUCCGAAUGGGGAAACCCGGCUGAUGUAAUAGUCAGUCACUCAUAACUGAAUACAUAGGUUAUGAAGAGGCAUACCAGGGGAACUGAAACAUCUAAGUACCCUGAGGAAGAGAAAACAAUAGUGAUUCCGUCAGUAGCGGCGAGCGAACGCGGAUUAGCCUAAACCGGUCAGCUUGCUGGCCGGGGUUGUGGGACGUCUCG
rnacentral:ncRNA from 1 species